AUUGAACGCUGGCGGCAGGCCUAACACAUGCAAGUCGAGCGGAGCGGCGGACGGGUGCGUAAUGCCUAGGAAUCUGCCUGGUAGUGGGGGAUAACGUCCGGAAACGGGCGCUAAUACCGCAUACUAUCAGAUGAGCCUAGGUCGGCUUAGCUAGUUGGUGGGGUAAAGGCCUACCAAGGCGACGAUCCCUAACUGGUCUGAGAGGAUGAUCAGUCACACUGGGACUGAGAAACGGUCCAGACUCCUACGGGAGGCAGCAGUGGGGAAUAUUGGACAAUGGGCGAAAGCCUGAUCCAGCCAUGCCGCGUGUAUGAAGAAGGUCUUCGGAUUGUAAAGUACUUUCAGUUGGGAGGCGUUACCAACAGAAUAAGCACCGGCUAACUUCGUGCCAGCAGCCGCGGUAAUUC
rnacentral:rRNA from 1 species